CCUACGGGGGGCUGCAGUGGGGAAUAUUGGACAAUGGGGGGAACCCUGAUCCAGCCAUGCCGCGUGUGUGAAGAAGGCCCUCGGGUUGUAAAGCACUUUCAGUGAGGAAGAACGCCUGGUGGUUAAUACCCAUCAGGAAAGACAUCACUCACAGAAGAAGCACCGGCUAACUCCGUGCCAGCAGCCGCGGUAAUACGGAGGGUGCGAGCGUUAAUCGGAAUUACUGGGCGUAAAGCGCGCGUAGGUGGCUUGAUAAGCCGGUUGUGAAAGCCCCGGGCUCAACCUGGGAAUGGCAUCCGGAACUGUCAAGCUAGAGUGCAGGAGAGGAAGGUAGAAUUCCCGGUGUAGCGGUGAAAUGCGUAGAGAUCGGGAGGAAUACCAGUGGCGAAGGCGGCCUUCUGGACUGACACUGACACUGAGGUGCGAAAGCGUGGGUAGCAAACAGGAUUAGAUACCCCUGUAGUC
rnacentral:rRNA from 1 species